rnacentral:tRNA from 1 species
GAGAGAGGUAUGAUACAAUAAGGACUGCUAAUUCUUACAACCACAGUUAAAUCCCGUGGCUCACUCA